GCAGGGAUAGCUCAGUUGGGAGAGCAUCAGACUGAAGAUCUGAAGGUUGCGUGUUCGAUCCACGCUCACCGCA
rnacentral:tRNA from 1 species